rnacentral:rRNA from 1 species
AGAGUUUGAUCCUGGCUCAGGACGAACGCUGGCGGCGCGCCUAACACAUGCAAGUCGAACGAGCGAGAGAGAGCUUGCUUUCUCGAGCGAGUGGCGAACGGGUGAGUAACGCGUGAGGAACCUGCCUCAAAGAGGGGGACAACAGUUGGAAACGACUGCUAAUACCGCAUAAGCCCACGGCUCGGCAUCGAGCAGAGGGAAAAGGAGCAAUCCGCUUUGAGAUGGCCUCGCGUCCGAUUAGCUAGUUGGUGAGGUAACGGCCCACCAAGGCGACGAUCGGUAGCCGGACUGAGAGGUUGAACGGCCACAUUGGGACUGAGACACGGCCCAGACUCCUACGGGAGGCAGCAGUGGGGAAUAUUGCACAAUGGGGGAAACCCUGAUGCAGCGACGCCGCGUGGAGGAAGAAGGUCUUCGGAUUGUAAACUCCUGUUGUUGGGGAAGAUAAUGACGGUACCCAACAAGGAAGUGACGGCUAACUACGUGCCAGCAGCCGCGGUAAAACGUAGGUCACAAGCGUUGUCCGGAAUUACUGGGUGUAAAGGGAGCGCAGGCGGGAAGACAAGUUGGAAGUGAAAUCUAUGGGCUCAACCCAUAAACUGCUUUCAAAACUGUUUUUCUUGAGUAGUGCAGAGGUAGGCGGAAUUCCCGGUGUAGCGGUGGAAUGCGUAGAUAUCGGGAGGAACACCAGUGGCGAAGGCGGCCUACUGGGCACCAACUGACGCUGAGGCUCGAAAGUGUGGGUAGCAAACAGGAUUAGAUACCCUGGUAGUCCACACCGUAAACGAUGAUUACUAGGUGUUGGAGGAUUGACCCCUUCAGUGCCGCAGUUAACACAAUAAGUAAUCCACCUGGGGAGUACGACCGCAAGGUUGAAACUCAAAGGAAUUGACGGGGGCCCGCACAAGCAGUGGAGUAUGUGGUUUAAUUCGACGCAACGCGAAGAACCUUACCAAGUCUUGACAUCCCUUGACGAUGCUGGAAACAGUAUUUCUCUUCGGAGCAAGGAGACAGGUGGUGCAUGGUUGUCGUCAGCUCGUGUCGUGAGAUGUUGGGUUAAGUCCCGCAACGAGCGCAACCCUUAUGGUCAGUUACUACGCAAGAGGACUCUGGCCAGACUGCCGUUGACAAAACGGAGGAAGGUGGGGAUGACGUCAAAUCAUCAUGCCCUUUAUGACUUGGGCUACACACGUACUACAAUGGCGUUAAACAAAGAGAAGCAAGACCGCGAGGUGGAGCAAAACUCAGAAACAACGUCCCAGUUCGGACUGCAGGCUGCAACUCGCCUGCACGAAGUCGGAAUUGCUAGUAAUCGUGGAUCAGCAUGCCACGGUGAAUACGUUCCCGGGCCUUGUACUAAGCGCCCGUCA